GAUGAACGCUGGCGGCGUGCCUAAUACAUGCAAGUCGAGCGAACGGACGAGACGCUUGCUUCUCUGAUGUUAGCGGCGGACGGGUGAGUAACACGUUGAUAACCUACCUAUAAGACUGUGAUAACUUCGGGAAACCGUAGCUAAUACCGGAUAAUAUUUUGAACCGCAUGGUUCAAAAGUGAAAGACGGUCUUGCUGUCACUUAUAGAUUGAUCCUCGCUGCAUUAGCUAGUUGGUAAGGUAACGUCUUACCAAGGCAACGAUGCAUAGCCGACCUGAGAGGGUGAUCGGCCACACUGGAACUGAGACACGGUCCGGAGUACGACGGGAGGCAGCAGUAGGGAAUCUUCCGCAAUGAGCGAAAGCCUGACGGAGCAACGCCGCGUGAGUGAUGAAGGUCUUCGGAUCGUAAAACUCUGUUAUUAGGGAAGAACAUAUGUGUAAGUAACUGUGCACAUCUUGACGGUACCUAAUCAGAAAGCCACGGCUAACUACGUG
rnacentral:rRNA from 1 species